rnacentral:lncRNA from 1 species
AAGUGGGGGCGUCACAGUUGGUAUCAGAGCUUAGGCUUUAGAUCUCUGUAGUGUAUCCUAGGCUUAAACGUUUAGGAUGCCGGACUGUGGAACUGGUUGGAAAGUUAAGUGACUGCUCGUGGGAAUGAAAACUAGAGCUUAGGUUUGGAUUAGUCGAUGAUAAGGAGUCUUGAUCUUGUGUGAUACAUGUGGGAUAGUAUGGGAUGAUCAAAUCCAGUUUAUUUGGUGUAUUUGGUCCCAUUUAAGCUUUUAAUCUUAAUUGUAAGUUGCGGAAAGUAAUGGUGGCAUUGCACCGUCUUGGAGACGCAUUAUGGUGACCAUGGCCGUGAAGGGCCUAGGGGAGGGCUCGUUGGAAGUGUAAUCCAACUCGCCGAACUAGUACGAUAUGUUAUUUCCAAAGGACUUACUCGUACCCAAGUAAUGGAGUGUUUAUAGUGGCCGAUCAUCGGAAGUGGCUAUUUGAGGAAAACAGGGUGAUUCAAGGGGAGAAUCGAGAACCGAUGGCGAUUGCGGAUGUCUAGACUACUAGGAUUCCUGAAGUGGAGAUUGAGAUAUUUAAGGAGCGAGGAAGACAAAGGCUCCUAGUGAGAAGCUUCAAAAGCAACAAAAAAAAAAAAAAAA